rnacentral:lncRNA from 1 species
CGAAUCUCAUCCCAGAAUAAUCGUUCAAGAUGAGAGCUAAAUGGAGAAAGAAGAGAGUUAGACGCCUCAAGCGUAAGCGCCGUAAGAUGAGAGCUAGAUCCAAAUAAACGCCUCGCACUCCUACCUGACUUGACGCAUCUCGCAUGAGUUUACGAUUUCCAUUUUCACUGGGACGACAUGAGUGCCGAGCAAGAUCACUGAUGGAUCAACGAGCUGCCAAAGUCUCUUCUGAAGCAAUGAUUUCGCGACAUUUGGUUGGAACGAACAUGAAGUUGUCGAGGAAUUACGUCAACGGCGGCAAAAGUCCGUCAAAGCUAGCUCAAAGGGCCGUCAACUCGGUUCGGG